rnacentral:tRNA from 1 species
UACAUUAAGGUGUUAAGCACGAAAGAUUUUGAUUCUUUAGGAAUAUUUAGUUUAUAUAAUGUAA